UACGUAGGGCGCAAGCGUUGUCCGGAAUUAUUGGGCGUAAAGAGCUUGUAGGCGGUUUGUCGCGUCUGCUGUGAAAUUUCGGGGCUCAACCCCGAACUUGCAGUGGGUACGGGCAGACUAGAGUGUGGUAGGGGAGACUGGAAUUCCUGGUGUAGCGGUGAAAUGCGCAGAUAUCAGGAGGAACACCGGUGGCGAAGGCGGGUCUCUGGGCCGUUACUGACGCUGAGGAGCGAAAGCGUGGGGAGCGAACAGG
rnacentral:rRNA from 1 species